rnacentral:SRP_RNA from 1 species
GCCCGUGCCCCGCACGGCGUCCGCCCGUGAACCCCGUCAGGCCCGGAAGGGAGCAGCGGCAGCGGGAUCGGACGCGCGCUGCGGAUCCGCGCGGGUCGG